UGGGGAAUAUUGGACAAUGGGCGAAAGCCUGAUCCAGCCAUGCCGCGUGUGUGAAGAAGGUCUUCGGAUUGUAAAGCACUUUAAGUUGGGAGGAAGGGUUGUAGAUUAAUACUCUGCAAUUUUGACGUUACCGACAGAAUAAGCACCGGCUAACUCUGUGCCAGCAGCCGCGGUAAUACAGAGGGGGCUAGCGUUGUUCGGAUUUACUGGGCGUAAAGCGCGUGUAGGCGGGUCGUUAAGUUGGGGGUGAAAUCCCGAGGCUCAACCUCGGAACUGCCUUCAAAACUGGCGACCUGGACCUAAGUAGAGGCAAGUGGAAUUGCGAGUGUAGAGGUGAAAUUCGUAGAUAUUCGCAGGAACACCAGUGGCGAAGGCGACCACCUGGACUGAUACUGACACUGAGGUGCGAAAGCGUGGGGAGCAAACAGGAUUAGAUACCCACGUAGUCCCUGAGCGGGCUGGCAAGGCGCAU
rnacentral:rRNA from 1 species